GGUUCAAUGAUUACUUGCCCCCUUUAUUGGGGGUAAUAUACGCUAUUCCGAUUAUUACAUGACCGGAUAAUCUUCAUGAAUGAGAACU